rnacentral:rRNA from 1 species
GACGAACGCUGGCGGCGUGCUUAACACAUGCAAGUCGAACGGAAAGGCCCUGCUUUUGUGGGGUGCUCGAGUGCCGAACGGGUGAGUAACACGUGAGUAACCUGCCCUUGACUUUGGGAUAACUUCAGGAAACUGGGGCUAAUACCGGAUAGGAGCUCCUGCUGCAUGGUGGGGGUUGGAAAGUUUCGGCGGUUGGGGUUGGACUCGCGGCUUAUCAGCUUGUUGGUGGGGUAGUGGCUGACCAAGGCUUUGGCGGGUAGCCGGCAUGGGAGGGUGACCGGCGACAUGGGGACUGAGAUACGGCGCAGACUCCUACGGGAGGCAGCAGGGGGGAGUAUGGCACAAUGAGCCGAAGCCUGAUGCAGCAACGCCGCGUGCGGGAUGACGGCCUUCGGGUUGUAAACCGCUUUCGCCUGUGACGAAGCGUGAGUGACGGUAAUGGGUAAAGAAGCACCGGCUAACUACGUG